UGUCUUCUUCUGGGUCAAGGAGCUCAUCCCGCGGCGGCGCCAACCCGGAGUGGAGCAAGAAGGAGAAUAAGCUGUUCGAGGAGGCACUCGCCUACUACGGCGAGGGCAUGCCCGACCGCUAGCUCAAGGUGUCCCGUGCCAUGGGCGGGACCAAGAAUGCCGACGAGGUGCGCCACCACUACGAGAUCCUUGACGGCGACAUCAAGCUGA
rnacentral:rRNA from 1 species